rnacentral:tRNA from 1 species
GAGGGUAUGGCUCAGUGGCAGUGUGCUCAGCACGCAGAAGGUCCUGGGUUCAAUCCCCAGUACCUCCA